GUGUCAGCCGCCGCGGUAAUACGUAGGGGGCAAGCGUUGUCCGGAAUCAUUGGGCGUAAAGAGCGUGUAGGCGGUCCGGUCAGUCGGUUGUGAAAGUCAAGGGCUCAACCCUUGAAUGCCGGCCGAUACUGCCGGGCUAGAGUCCGGAAGAGGUGAGUGGAAUUCCUGGUGUAGCGGUGAAAUGCGCAGAUAUCAGGAGGAACACCGAUGGCGAAGGCAGCUCACUGGGACGGUACUGACGCUGAGACGCGAAAGCGUGGGGAGCAAACAGGAUUAGAAACCCUGGUAGUCC
rnacentral:rRNA from 1 species